UACAGAGGGUGCAAGCGUUGUUCGGAAUUAUUGGGCGUAAAGCGCGUGUAGGCGGCUUUGCAAGUCGGGUGUGAAAGCCCUCAGCUUAACUGAGGAAGUGCGCCCGAAACUGCAGAGCUUGAGUACCGGAGAGGAUGGUGGAAUUCCCCAAGUAGAGGUGAAAUUCGUAGAUAUGGGGAGGAACACCGGUGGCGAAGGCGACCAUCUGGACGGAUACUGACGCUGAGACGCGAAAGCGUGGGUAGCAAACAGG
rnacentral:rRNA from 1 species